CAAUCUGAAGUCAAAAUAGCCGUUGUGGUAUGCAUAGUAGCAUAUAAAAAAUUCGCAUAUUUCUAUGUGUUUGUGUGCACAAGCAAACAAAAUAAUGGAUAUGGUCCUAACUCCUAUGUAUGUAUGCCUCACGUUCUCGACCACAACUGGACCCAAGUGGUAUGGAAGCAUAAUAUGGAGCCAAUUAUAGGAAACGGUGAAAAUACAUUAUUAAAGGUCAAAUUUUGCUGGAACUUGUAGAGAUGUAUUUUUGGAAGAGCCGAGGAGGUGACUAAUAUUUCAAGUAAAAGAGGUGCUCUGGGAUUUGGGCACUAAAAUCUCAAUCACUGAUCAGUGAAGGUAGGUGCACUGUCAUACCAGGGGAAGGGGAUUCGAACGUUGCUCCAAAUACAAGUGAUCAAGGGUUCCUUUUAAAGUUCAAAAACCAAUUUGCUUCUCCAUAGCUGUUGUGGAAGCUCAUGCCGUGUGCAGCAUGGUGCUCCAUAUGUCCUAGAGAUUUCAACUCUGAGAUUUUCAUCAAAAGAAGCUGCAGUGAGAAUCACUUGAGGAAAACUAGUCACUUGCAGAAUGCGUCCAACGAGAUGGAUACCUUGCUCAUAUGAAUUCACAGUAACACCAUGUAAGGCCUCAGACCACCAGUUAUACGCGGGGAUGCCGAGUCGGUCAAUUGCAGGGGCCGAGGCACUGAGUUGGGCUAUCUUUUCAUCUAAAGUGAGGCAUGUGGAGGAGCAUCUGAUUCAACAGCAAUGAAGAGUGUAGAAAUGUGUAGGAGUUGAAAAAGACAGAGCAGCAUUAGCAAUCUCAUUUUGCAGACUGUGUUAAAUGCAGAAAUAAGCACAAUUUAAAGAAAGAAGUGACAGGUUGGAAGACUUGAAGCUGGAAUUUUCUGGCCUGCACAAUGCGCAGAGUGCCUCAACAAAUAGAAUUCCUACUUUCCUAGAAUAAAGAUGAAUAAAUGGUGAGAAAAACAUGGAAACAUGUUUAUAUACUGAGAGAUGUUGCAGCGAUUGUUUUGUUGUAGUGAAGCCGGGGAAACCAUUUCUCUUGUCCUGUGGCAUGACUGUAGAAUACUAGAAAAUCCAAUAUUCAGUUGUUUUAGUUCUUUCUCAGU